rnacentral:rRNA from 1 species
CCUACGUGCGGCAGCAGUGAGGAAUAUUGGUCAAUGGGCUUACGCCUGAACCAGCCAAGUCGCGUGAGGGAAGACUGCCCUAUGGGUUGUAAACCUCUUUUGUCAGGGAGCAACGCCGGCUACGUGUAGCCGGACUGAGAGUACCUGAAGAAAAAGCAUCGGCUAACCCCGUGCCAGGAGCCGCGGUAAUACGUAGGAUGCGAGCGUUAUCCGGAUUUAUGGGGUUAAAGGGGUGCGGAGGCGGAAUGCCAAGUCAGCGGUAAAAUCGGGGGGAUCAACCUCGCUCCGCCGGUGAAACUGGGGUUGUUGAGUGGGCGAGAAGUAUGCGGAAUGCGUGGUGUAGCGGUGAAAUGCAUAGAUAUCACGCAGAACUCCGAUUGCGAAGGCAGCAUACCGGCGCCCAACUGACGCUGAGGCACGAAAGCGUGGGUAUCGAACAGGAUUAGAUACCCGAGUAGUC